UCUGUUUAUAGAGAGGGCUUUGCAUAAUUGUGCUCUCAGUUACCAGCUGGGAGCAAACCCAGAGCCCCCAGGAGUGGGCCAGCGCUGUCUCGCUCAACUUUCUCACUCUCAGUUUGUCCUAAUUAGAAGCACUUAUUCAGGGAUUAUCCCUGAUUUUCACCUGUGCACUUCAGGGUCUAAUUUCUACCAGGAAUAGCAGCUCUGGGCAGGCUACACAUUCUGACGUCUUAAAGCUUGCCUUUAUUUCUUCUUUUUUUUUUUCCUGCGUAACUCUGGGUGAAGAUGUUCAGGAAUUUCCUCCAGACACCUUUUUUUUCAAAUCAAACACCCUCAGCACUUGCAGACCUUGCCAGGGUUGAUAAAUGCCUGAUCAUUUUGCUGCACUGUGAGCCAGCAGACUUGGGAACAGAGAAGGAUCCCACAAGACUGGAAAAUUUCACUUUUUGCUUAAGCCAAAGGUUUUGUUUGCCUCCCAUGAAGACAAAAGCUGUUCAAGUUUCCACUGCCAUCUCAGUGGGUUAGACAUGAGCUUCCCUGGUGAAUAAAAAACAAGUUGGAAAAUUUUAAA